rnacentral:rRNA from 1 species
AGUGGCGGACGGGUGAGUAACGCGUGAGAAUCUGCCUUGGGGUCGGGGACAACCACUGGAAACGGUGGCUAAUACCGGAUAAGCCGAUUGGUGAAAGAUUUAUUGCCCGAAGAGGAGCUCGCGUCUGAUUAGCUAGUUGGUGAGGUAAGAGCUCACCAAGGCAGCGAUCAGUAGCUGGUCUGAGAGGACGAUCAGCCACACUGGGACUGAGACACGGCCCAGACUCCUACGGGAGGCAGCAGUGGGGAAUUUUCCGCAAUGGGCGAAAGCCUGACGGAGCAAGACCGCGUGAGGGAGGAAGGCUCUUGGGUUGUAAACCUCUUUUCUCAGGGAAGAAGAUCUGACGGUACCUGAGGAAUCAGCCUCGGCUAACUCCGUGCCAGCAGCCGCGGUAAUACGGAGGAGGCAAGCGUUAUCCGGAAUUAUUGGGCGUAAAGCGUCCGCAGGUGGCGAUUCAAGUCUGCUGUCAAAGCACGGGGCUUAACUCCGUAAAGGCAGUGGAAACUGAAUAGCUAGAGUGCCGUAGGGGUAGAGGGAAUUCCCGGUGUAGCGGUGAAAUGCGUAGAGAUCGGGAAGAACAUCGGUGGCGAAAGCGCUCUACUGGACGGCAACUGACACUCAGGGACGAAAGCUAGGGGAGCGAAUGGGAUUAGAUACCCC